UUGAAGUCAGGCCACUUGUGCCACGGCUCGAGCAAACCGUGCUGCCUGUAGCUCCGCCAAAAACGGGAGGCGUAAAAAUCCCAGGGAGGCCAUGCGCCACGGAAGCUGUACGCGUGGCAUAUUGGACUAGCGGUUAGAGGAGACCCCUCCCAUCACUAACGAAACGCAGCAAAAAGGGGGCCCGAAGCCAGGAGGAAGCUGUACUCCUGGUGGAAGGACUAGAGGUUAGAGGAGACCC
rnacentral:lncRNA from 1 species